rfam:Erinaceus europaeus unplaced genomic scaffold scaffold00740, whole genome shotgun sequence
AACACGGCCCUUUUCAGGGCCACCUACUCAAUCACUAAAAAGAGU